rnacentral:lncRNA from 1 species
AUGCCUCUUGUAAAGGAAAUUCUUCAUCCUUCUUCAAAAAAGGAGGAGAGGGAACACAAGAAGUGCCUGGUGCAGAGCUCCAGUUCCUACUUUGUGGUUGUGAAAUGUUCAAGAUACUGUAAAAUCACCAUGAUCUUUAGCCAUGCACCAAUGGUGGUUGUGUGUGUUGGCUGCUGCACUGUCCUCUGCCAGCCUAUAGGCGAAAAAGCAGGACAUACAGAUUUUCCUGCAGGAGGAAGCAGCACUAA